UCGUCCUGCCCGAACACCUGCGGCAAGGUAUGAGUCAAAUCCACGACCGUGCCCGCUGGCGCCGAAGGGGGGUUUUUGCUGCAGUGCUGCUAACUGUUGUGUGGGUGUUGUAUCCUAAUUAGUGGCUUAGAAGUAACUAAGUCUGUUCCCUGUGUUUUGGAUACUGUUAGCUUAUUCGCUGUUAUCUAAGGCAUCUGGAGGGGGAUCCCCACAGCAGGAGCCGAGACCUGUUGUAAAGGGCCAGGUAGCCAGUGUUUGGGACUGUCACAGAGCCUGCCACAACUAGUCAACUCUGCUGCUGUGGCCGAAAGCAUUACAGACAACGUGUGAACAAACGGCAACUGUGGCCAAAACUAUUGGUGGACAUCGAAACGAGGCGAGUCUCUAAGGCCACUCAGCCUGCAGAGGGCGGGCCCCGGUUCACGGGAAUUCCUCCAGGCUCACAUGGAACGGCCAUCACCAUCCCUUUCUGGGGCAACAAGACCCCAACCCCUGUGAGACGGGCCGAACACAAGAACACAGCCGCCAGUGAGGUUCAGGACAGACGCCGCAAAGCCUAAUUUAAACCAGCUGGGAAGGAAUGGCUUCAUCACUGCAAGUCAGACAUUCAAGCAGUCUUCAUUGAAUGCCUUCUGUGUGCCAGGCUCCCCUUCUCCGACUUGGACUGGGGAUGCAUGAACCCCUCUGGCCCAGCUAUCCUGACUCAGAGAAGGAGGCAGCAGUGGGAAGAACUCAGGUGUGGAGCCAGAUGACCUUGGACACAUCACUGCCCUCUGGAGCUGCAGCUGCCUCUUCUACCAGAAGGGGUGACAGCUACUUCUUCAGGGUCAUCAGAAGCACCAGAGAGUCGGCACAUAUUCAGUAAAUGGGACCACACUGCAUGCAGCUGGGACCCCGGGGGAUGGCAAAGAUGGCAGUUCUAACAGAGGGCACAGGCUCGCAGAAGGAAAAGGCAACGUGCUAUGGAAGCUGGAGGGGAAGGCUGGGCUGCCGCGUGGCCCUGCUAGGUGCCCAGGUGCUUCAGAACAGACCAAGCCAUUGCUCCAGCCAGACUGUGAGAAACACACCAGAUGAACCCCAAUAGAGGGGCAGCUACCAAAUUCCUGACUCCCCUCACCACUGCCCAAGGCGUCCAGAACGAGGAAUGUCUGAAAAACUGUCAUAGCCUGGAGGGUUCCAAAGAGACAAGAAACCUGUCACGUGGGAACUGGGACAGAGGACUGGGACAGGGAAAACUGCGGAAUCUGAA